rnacentral:rRNA from 1 species
GACAGAGGUGCCAAGCGUUAGGCGGAAUCACUGGGCUUAAAGCGUGUGUAGGCGGACUUGUAAGUACCUUGUGAAAUCCCACGGCUCAACCGUGGAACUGCUCGGUAUACUGCUUGUCUUGAGCCACUUAGGGGCUGUCGGAACAAACGGUGGAGCGGUGAAAUGCGUAGAUAUCGUCAGGAACGCCAAUGGUGAAGACAGGUGACUGGGCCAGUUCUGACACUGAGGCACGAAAGCGUGGGGAGCGAACGGG